GACGAACGCUGGCGGCGUGCUUAACACAUGCAAGUCGAACGGUGAAGCGCCUUCCUCUUUGGUGGGUGUGGAUGAGUGGCGAACGGGUGAGUAACACGUGAGUAACCUGCCUCCUUCUUCUGGAUAACCGCAUGAAAGUGUGGCUAAUACGGGAUAUUCUGGGUCUGUCGCAUGAUGGGUCUGGGAAAGAUAUUGUUUCGGUGGGGGAUGGGCUCGCGGCCUAUCAGCUUAUUGGUGGGGUGAUGGCCUACCAAGGCGGUGACGGGUAGCCGGCCUGAGAGGGUGGACGGUCACACUGGGACUGAGACACGGCCCAGACUCCUACGGGAGGCAGCAGUGGGGAAUAUUGCACAAUGGGCGCAAGCCUGAUGCAGCGACGCCGCGUGAGGGAUGGAGGCCUUCGGGUUGUGAACCUCUUUCGCCAGUGAAGCAGGCCUGCCUCGUUUGUGGGUGGGUUGACGGUAGCUGGAGAAGAAGCGCCGGCUAACUACGUG
rnacentral:rRNA from 1 species